rnacentral:rRNA from 1 species
CGAAGGGUGCAAGCGUUACUCGGAAUUACUGGGCGUAAAGCGUGCGUAGGUGGUUUGUUAAGUCUGAUGUGAAAGCCCUGGGCGUCAACCUGGGAAGUGGCAUUGGAUACUGGCGAGCUAGAGUGCGGUAGAGGGUAGUGGAAUUCCCGGUGUAGCAGUGAAAUAGCGUAGAGAUCGGGAGGAACAUCUGUGGCGAAGGCGACUACCUGGACCAGCACUGACACUGAGGCACGAAAGCGUGGGGAGCAAACAGGAUU